rnacentral:rRNA from 1 species
GCAGGCUGCAACUCGCCUGCAUGAAGCCGGAAUCGCUAGUAAUCGCGGAUCAGAAUGCCGCGGUGAAUACGUUCCCGGGUCUUGUACACACCGCCCGUCACACCAUGGGAGUCGGAAAUGCCCGAAGCCGGUGACCCAACCCGAAAGGGAGGGAGCCGUCGAAGGCAGGUCGGAUGACUGGGGUGAAGUCGUAACAAGGUAAC